rnacentral:rRNA from 1 species
GACGAACGCUGGCGGCGUGCUUAACACAUGCAAGUCGAACGAAGAGCGAUGGAAGCUUGCUUCUAUCAAUCUUAGUGGCGAACGGGUGAGUAACGCGUAAUCAACCUGCCCUUCAGAGGGGGACAACAGUUGGAAACGACUGCUAAUACCGCAUACGAUCUAAUCUCGGCAUCGAGGAAAGAUGAAAGGUGGCCUCUAUUUAUAAGCUAUCACUGAAGGAGGGGAUUGCGUCUGAUUAGCUAGUUGGAGGGGUAACGGCCCACCAAGGCGAUGAUCAGUAGCCGGUCUGAGAGGAUGAACGGCCACAUUGGGACUGAGACACGGCCCAGACUCCUACGGGAGGCAGCAGUGGGGAAUCUUCCGCAAUGGACGAAAGUCUGACGGAGCAACGCCGCGUGAGUGAUGACGGCCUUCGGGUUGUAAAGCUCUGUUAAUCGGGACGAAAGGCCUUCUUGCGAACAGUUAGAAGGAUUGACGGUACCGGAAUAGAAAGCCACGGCUAA